GAACCAUUAAAUGAGAAACCCCAUUCUUUGAUUAAUAGGCUAAAAACUGAAAUAAGUAAUUGGGCUUUUACAAUUGAAGUCCAAAAUAAUUAGGAGGUGACACUUGUCACGUAAAGAGGGGGGGUGGUGGAGAGUGGGUCUUGGAAUGCCAUGUCAUGGAGGUGGGGCUCAUAGCCUUCCUCUUUUCUAUAAUAUAUAGAUUUGCAGUAUCUGUUAUCGAUUCCCUAGUAACGUGUUAUAGGGGAAUUGUGAAACGACUCGUUUUGAGUUAAAAAAAAAAGAUUUGAAUAGUAUAUAUACAUAUUUAUAUAAAUAUAAAAGAUAAGAAAAAAAAAACUAUCUUAAUUGGUUUUUAAACACCCCGUAACCCCCCAGUACCCAUUUCUUUUCCAAAAGCUAUAUCACACACUCUCUCUCUUUUUCUAUUUUUCUUCUUCGUCUUUCUCUCGUUGACGGCACAUGGCUUCCCCCCUCCAUUUCUUCUUCUGUGUUCUUUUCUUCUCCACCAUGAACAAAACUAAUUACCACCAAGAAAAUUGCACAUUCAUGAAGAAAGGUUUUGGUAUUCAUAUGGAAUGGCUUCGGAAAAAAAAAAUGUUUGGGAGUUAGGGUUUGUGUUCUGAAAGAGGAGAAGAGUACCCACUCUUUUAGGAUUGCUUAUUUGGCUUCAGUGAGAUUCGACGGCGAGUGGAUCGUUCGAUGGUCGUAGGAUUGCUGAAAGCAAUUGUGGUUAUUCUUCAUAGUUAUUUUCAGGCAACUGAGUAGCAGACCAUUGUCAGAUUCAGAUCAUUCGACUUAUUUCCUUUGACAGGUUGUCAUAUUGAUGUCUUUUCUUUAAUCCUGGUUAUCUGCAGCUAUAGGGAGUCCUAGGUGGAUUUAGAUUUGAGAUUUUGAUUUAUUAUUUUAUUUCAAGAGUUGACACUUGAGUGCUCGAGUUGAUUUUAUAUUUCACUUAAAAUACUGGUUAUGGAAGAACUUAUUGGCAGAUGUUGUUAAUUUGUAACUAUUGGAAUUACAAAAGAGAUUCUAGUGUUUUUAUAUAUGUGUACAAUGAUAUUUUUGAAUAAAUUGUUUGGAAAAUGAUUCGUUGAGGAAGAGGCUUGCCAGGCUAGGGUGGUAGUCUGGGCGCCGGUCACGACUUAGGAUUUUGGGUCGUGACAAAGUUGGUAUCAGAGCUUUGGCUGUAGGUCCUAAUAGCUGCAGACAUAAGGUAGAGAUAGAAUCUUUUUAGUAAAUUGUGAACCGCGGCACAACUUACUUUAAAGAUGCUAUUAACGCCUCAUGAGAGUCUUAGUGUUGUUUCCAAGUGUGAUUUGAGUUCGUUCCUCAUUCACAAAAUUCUGAGUCAUGUCUUAUAUUCAAUGAAUAUUCGUUGUUCAGUGAGGUUGCCACCUAAAUUUGAAUUUCUAUUAGAAGAUGAGGCUUCUUAUUAGGACCUUGUUUAAGGCGGUCGUGGUCGGCAUUGUAAUGUAAGCCUAGGACCAUUGCUGUUAGGCACUGGUUAUCCGUUGAAGUAGUCAAUGUAUAUGUGCUUUUAUCGAGGUAAUGAAAUUUAGGGAUGAUAUAGCUUGUGGUUGGUAUAGGGGAAUUAUAAGAUGAUUGCAAUGACGCGUUUGAGUGAUUUUUUGCCGCACAACCUACAUAAGGAAAUUACGAGCAAUAUCUUGAGGUUAGACAGAAGAGAGCAACAACAAGUAGUUACCACUAGAGAUACUAAGGUCACAUUAACUAGUUACUUGAAGCUUAACUAUCCUACUUUUGGUACUAGUGGAAGUGAGAAUCCACAUAGGAUUAGUGAUGCUUUGAGAGUCUAUAGAGAGCACUUGGAUUCUCACACAUGCAAUAGAACUAACAUUUUUCAGCUGGGAGUUGUAGCAUAUGAUUAGUUUGAUGACUCUACGCGUACGAGAGCGACAAGAUCACCUUCGUUAGCAUGGCUGAUUUUUCAUAGGGAUUCAUUGAUUGUUUUCUUUCGGAGAAUGUCAUAGAUGGUUUGACACAAGUGCUUGAUUUCUAGAGUAGACUGAGUACAAUGAUUUCAUAGGGUGGUUAUAGUGAACAAUCUUCAAGCCUUGUGGAGAUUCAUAUAAUAAAUUUUCUACGCCUUGUUUUGCUUGUCAAAAGAUUCAUGAUGUAGCUUUCUUUGGAGAAAGUAGGGUGUGCAAUUAGUGCAUGGAGAUAAGUCAUAUUAUGGAGGAUUGUCUUGUGGUUGUGGUGCAACUUCCUCUAGUCGUGGAUAAGCAUACAUAGGAGCGUCUUUAGCAUUUUCUCUGACCCUUACAACACUUGUGUGGCAUUUGGCUUUAGGAAUUUGUGGUGAUGCAAAGGUCACUUUGGACAUUCAUAAUCUUUGGGAAUAGAAUCUAGAGAAGUUUUAUAACCAAGUUAUUAAUGCUUAAUUGGAAUUGGUUUUGAAGCUUCAAUUUGCGAAAGGUGUUGAGUUAUUAAAAUGGCAGGUUGGAUGUGUGGCGUAAGAUCAUUGUUACAAUUUUAUUGGAUCAGAUUGGUACAAGGUUGCCUUGUAUCUUAUAGAAACGUUAGUUACAUUAGAUUAGUUUUAACAUGAUACUGAAAUUGACUCUUGGCUUAAGACUUUUUGUCGCGCUAUUCUUGGGAAAUAUUGAGAAAGAUAUGUGCUGUCAUAUAUACACGAAGAGACACAUAUUGAUAGAUAUGUAUAUAUAUAUAUUUUAAGUUUGAAUAUUACAUAUUGUGAUUCUUAUCAUUAUUACAUUCAAAUGCUUUGAAGGAGUUGUUGAUGGUUGAUUAUGUGCGCUAUUAAUUCGAGAUAUCCAUUGGGGAUUGAGAGUUGUUGGUAGAAAGCGUAGCUUUAGAAAUUGUUGAUUUUGGUGUGAUCUUUUGGUAUCAUGAUAUUUUGGACUAACAUAGCAAAGUAUAUGAGAUCUGAAUUACCUGGACAAUCAUCUUUCUCAUUCAGGGUGAGUGAAGUUGGGAACCAUAUAAUCUAAUUUUAGGGUCGAAGUUAGGAGGUUACUAAGGACGGGUUGUCAUGGAUACUUGACUUUGGAUAAGAGGACACUCAAUCAGUGGAAAUAAAAACAGAAGAGUUCUUUUUGUGGAGUGUGAAAUUCUUAAUGUAUUAUUGGAGAAUCUCUUGAAGUACCGGCUAGUAGGGGAAUAUAGUUUCCAUAAAAUUGGUUCUUGAUGCUAGUUUUGUUUGUGAAAAAGGAAGAUAGAACCAUGCAAUUAAGUACAUAAUGAACAACAAAAAAUCAGUUAACUUGCAUAGAGGAGUGAUCUGAUUGAUUGCAAUGAGCUCAAUAUUUUUGAAAAUAUGAGUUGUCACUUGUGUAGCAACAAAUUAGGAAUAGAAAAGAGGACAUUUUGAAGGUAAUCUUCAGAAUAUGUUGUGACUGUAAAGAGUUAUUAGUCAUUCUUAUGGACUUAGUGAUGCCACUUUUGUUUUUAUGGAUUUAAUGAGCCGCAUCUUUAAAUCAUUAUUGGGUUAUAUUCCUAAGAUAAGGAAUAACACUAGAAGUUGCUGAUAAUAGAUUUUGGUUUGGGUUUCUUGAUCCAACUCAUUGUUGGUUCACAUGGAAAUUGAUUCUCCUUCGGUUGAUGAUGUUAAAUAUGAUAAGGGUCAAGACCGGUAAGUGGUGAAGAUGGUGGAGGUUGUUCAAAGUGAAAAGGUUCCACAUUUUCAGUAGACUCUGAUGACAUUUUAUGACUUGGAUGAUAGUUGUGUGUGCUUAAUACACACAUUAGUGGACUUAUAUCAUUAUUAUUAUUCUUAAACCAUACAUUCAGAUUCUAAUCAAAAGGUAUUAAGAUGGGAAGAAAUUUUAUUAGUGGGAAAAGAUACAGAAAGACAUAGUAAUUUGUUUCUGCAUGUUUAGGAAGGCUACGCACAAAAGCCAUAAAUGUUCCUUCAAUAUAUUAAGAUAUCAUUGAGUAAGUGAGAAAAUAUUGUUAUGAACUUUGUGUUAGGUUUUCUUAUGACUUAAAUGCGUGAUGAUUUUGUAUCAGUGAUAAUGGGUCGAUUGACUGAGUAUGCACUCUUUUUGCCCAUGAAUAAUACUUAUACUGCAGCCAAUAUACUAAGCUCCACUAAGAUGAAAGUGAUUAUUUACAUGGUGAACAUGUGUUUAUCAUUAUUGAGGAGCUCAAUUCAUUGCACAAUUUUGGAAUUUUUUUUUUUUAUAUAUGCUUUAAGGACUUGCUUGAAUUUAAGGACUGUUUUAUUUCUCUUGAUUGCUAAUUUGAGUGGACUAUUAAUAUCUAGGAUGAUAUAUGCUUGUUUUGAGGUAAUGCACCUAGGAUAGUAAUGACUAGUCUUGCAUAAAGAAGGGACCACUUGAGGCCUUGUUUGGUAGGCGGGCAUAUCACUAAUAGGUUGAAUUGAAGAUGAGAAAGCUAAGCUUGUAGCUUGAAAAAUAUGUAGUAGAGAGCUCAGUUGGUUCAUGAUUGUUUGAUUACCUUAUAAUGAGAAAAAAAAAAAAGAGUCUUAUGCCAAUAGGAGACCACACCCUUUAAAGUGGACAAUUGGUGACUAUGUUUUUACGUGAUUCUCCGAUGAAAGAAGUUUUACGGUUUGGUAGUAAGGAAAAACCCGAGUCAAAGAUUCAUUGGAUUGUUGAGGUCUUAGAGAGGGAUGACCCUAUAGCUUAUCGAUUGACACUUAUGCCAAAUCUUUCUACAGUUCAUACAGUUUCAUGCGUAUAUGCUUCGGAAAUACCUCUAUGAUCAAUCUCUCAUUUUUUUUGUGAUGAGGAUGUAGAGUUAGGUGAACAUUUAUCUUAGAUGGAGUUACGGUAGCAAUAGUGGAUAGAAAUGGUGAGAUACCUAUGUUCUAAGAAUAUUAGUUCAAUGAAAGUUCUUUGGCGAGGACCAUCUAGUAAGAGAUGUCUUGGGAAGCUAGAGUAAUCAUAUGAGGGAAGCAUCUCUUGCUAUUGAAAACACAAGGUUGGUUAAAACUUCAAAAUUCGAGGACGAAUUUUUCUUAAGGAGGGAAGAUUGAAACGACUCGUUUUGAGUUAAAAAAAAAAAAAAGAUUUGAAUAGUAUAUAUACAUAUGUAUAUAAAUAUAAAAGAUAAGAAAAAAAAACUAUCUUAAUUGGUUUUUAAACACCCCGUAACCCCCCAGUACCCAUUUCUUUUCCAAAAGCUAUAUCACACACUCUCUCUCUUUUUCUAUUUUUCUUCUUCGUCUUUCUCUCGUUGACGGCAUAUGGCUUCCCCCCUCCAUUUCUUCUUCUGUGUUCUUUUCUUCUCCACCAUGAACAAAACUAAUUACCACCAAGAAAAUUGCACAUUCAUGAAGAAAGGUUUUGGUAUUCAUAUGGAAUGGCUUCGGAAAAAAAAAAUGUUUGGGAGUUAGGGUUUGUGUUCUGAAAGAGGAGAAGAGUACCCACUCUUUUAGAAUUGCUUAUUUGGCUUCAGGGAGAUUCGACGGCAAGUGGAUCGUUCGAUGGUCGUAGGAUUGCUGAAAGCAAUUGUGGUUAUUCUUCAUAGUUAUUUUCAGGCAACUGAGUAGCAGACCAUUGUCAGAUUCAGAUCAUUCGACUUAUUUCCUUUGACAGGUUGUCAUAUUGAUGUCUUUUCUUUAAUCCUGGUUAUCUGCAGCUAUAGGGAGUCCUAGGUGGAUUUAGAUUUGAGAUUUUGAUUUAUUAUUUUAUUUUAAGAGUUGACACUUGAGUGCUCGAGUUGAUUUUAUAUUUCACUUAAAAUACUGGUUAUGGAAGAACUUAUUGACAGAUGUUGUUAAUUUGUAACUAUUGGAAUUACAAAAGAGAUUCUAG